rnacentral:antisense_RNA from 1 species
GUGGGAGCGAGCCUGCUCGCGAAAGCGGUCUGCCUGUCACCCUCAAUGUUGAUUGAUAAAUCGCAUUCGCGAGCAGGCUCGCUCCCAC